GAUGAACGCUGGCGGCGUGCUUAACACAUGCAAGUCGAACGAAGCAUUUAAGACAGAUUUCUUCGGGAUGAAGUUUUUUAUGACUGAGUGGCGGACGGGUGAGUAACGCGUGGGUAACCUGCCUCACACAGGGGGAUAGCAGUUGGAAACGACUGGUAAUACCGCAUAAGCGCACAGCUUCGCAUGAAGCGGUGUGAAAAACUCCGGUGGUGUGAGAUGGACCCGCGUCUGAUUAGGCAGUUGGUGAGGUAACGGCUCACCAAGCCGACGAUCAGUAGCCGACCUGAGAGGGUGACCGGCCACAUUGGGACUGAGACACGGCCCAGACUCCUACGGGAGGCAGCAGUGGGGAAUAUUGCACAAUGAGGAAACUCUGAUGCAGCGACGCCGCGUGAGUGAAGAAGUAUUUCGGUAUGUAAAGCUCUAUCAGCAGGGAAGACAGUGACGGUACCUGACUAAGAAGCUCCGGCUAAAUACGUGA
rnacentral:rRNA from 1 species